rnacentral:rRNA from 1 species
GAUGAACGCUUGGCGGCGUGCUUAACACAUGCAAGUCGAACGAACCUUCGGGUUAGUGGCGGACGGGUGAGUAACGCGUGAGAAUCUGCCCUCAGGAGGGGGAUAACGGCUGGAAACGGCCGCUAAUACCCCAUAUGCCGCGAGGUGAAAUGAAUUUCGCCUGAGGAUGAGCUCGCGUCUGAUUAGCUAGUUGGUGGGGUAAAGGCCUACCAAGGCAUCGAUCAGUAGCUGGUCUGAGAGGAUGAUCAGCCACACUGGGACUGAGACACGGCCCAGACUCCUACGGGAGGCAGCAGUGGGGAAUUUUCCGCAAUGGGCGAAAGCCUGACGGAGCAACGCCGCGUGAGGGAUGAAGGCCUCUGGGCUGUAAACCUCUUUUAUCAAGGAAGAAGAUCUGACGGUACUUGAUGAAUAAGCCACGGCUAAUUCCGUG